UUUUAUCUGUGCUUUUAAAAUGGUUUCUGGUAUUUUGUUUGAAUCAUUGACGUUUUUGGUUUUAUGGCUGUCGACAGCUAAAUUUUAUUUCAAAACGUUUAAAAAACACUGCUAGUGUUGAAAUUUAUGCGUGACAGUGAUUUAUGCGUGGCACUGUCACGCACGACAUGCUUAUGGAUAUAAGUGCAACGUUCGACACAGUCUGCAAUGAUGCGAGGACCCACAGCGAUUUUGGACCAGUUCUAGGAUUCUUGGGAGGCUCUGCUUAGAUGGACAAUUGUGCAUGAGGACAUGCAGUAAAGCAACAGGGCAGGUGAAGUAUUGCAUUCCAGGUCCCUUGCCAGACGCGAAUUCACUGAAAAGUGCGUGGAUGUCGACAUCCAUGAUUGUCCUUGUCAUCGCGGCGACGAUUAACUUGUUAUGCAUUUAGUCGCUAAUGCUGUCAUGCUGGCUCUUUUGAAAUUUCUAUCGCUCUUGUCAGUUUUCCGUUUAUGCUUCUGGCGCAUUAUCCAAAUCGAGUUUUUACAUAAUUAUGUUGGUGUUUUCAUGAGAAAUUAUGUCUCGGAUGUUGGUUUUUUGUGUAAAACUAGUUAUGUGGAACAUGCCAAAAUAAAUACAAAAUGGUAUCUGAUAUCCAUAUCUAGAUGUUUCAUAUUUGUAAGUUUAAUAUAAAAAAGGAGGUAAUCCCUAAUAUCUAAAGCUAAUUCAAAAGUAAUUAUUAAACUAUAUGAUAUUUCUGACUAUAUAUAUAUAUAGUGCCCC